rnacentral:rRNA from 1 species
UGAAUAAUGUAGAUAAGGGAAGUCGGCAAAUUAGAUUCGUAACUUUGGGAAAAGAAUUGGCUCUAGAGACCGGGCCGAGCGGGCUGUUCUCCGAGGCUUUGAUGCUGUGUACGUGUGUGCAUGUCGCAAGAUGUGUGGGCUAGUUGCAUGGCGUCGGAGUGGACGACUACAGCUAUGCGCAUUUCGGUGCGCGUCGCUCGGCGCUUAACGGUUGAAUCUAGAACUGGUACGGACUCGGGGAAUCCGACUGUCUAAUUAAAACAGAGGAGAUAGAUGGUUCCAGAUGGACGUUGACUAUCUCUGAUUUCUGCCCAGUGCUCUGAAUGUUACUUUAAGGAAAUUUGAUUAAGCGCGGGUAAACGGCGGGAGUAACUAUGACUCUCUUAAGGUAGCCAAAUGCCUCGUCCUCCAAUUAGGGACGCGCACGAAUGGAUCAACGAGAUUCCCACUGUCCCUAACUACUAUCUAGCGAAACCACAGCCAAGGGAACGGGCUUGGCAAAGACAGCGGGGAAAGAAGACCCUGUUGAGCUUGACUCUAGUCUGACUUUGUGAAGAAUCAUGCAUGGUGUAGCAUAAGUGGGAGGCUUCGGCCGGCAGUGAAAUACCACUACUUUCAUCGUUUCCUUACUUAUUCGGUAAAACGGAAUCGGCACACUUGUGUGCUUGUGAUUGUUGUUAAGCCUGCUCUUCGAGCGGGUGAUCCGCGCCGAUGACAGUGUCAGGCGGGGAGUUUGACUGGGGCGGUACAUCUAUCAAACAAUAACGUAGGUGUCCUAAGGUAAGCUCAGAAAGGACGGAAACCUUUCGUAGAGUAAAAGGACAAAAGCUUACUUGAUCUUGAUUUUCAGUACGAAUACAGACCGCGAAAGCGUGGCCUAUCGAUCCUUUCGAUUUGUAAAGUUUACAGCAAGAGGUGUCAGAAAAGUUACCACAGGGAUAACUGGCUUGUGGCAGCCAAGCGUCCAUAGCGACGUUGCUUUUUGAUCCUUCGAUGUCGGCUCUUCCUAUCAUUGCGUAGCAGAAUGCGCAAAGCGUUGGAUUGUUCACCCACUAAUAGGGAACGUGAGCUGGGGUUAGACCGUCGUGAGACAGGUUAGUUUUAUCCUACUGUCAUUGAAGUUGUCGCAACAGUAAUCCUGCUUAGUACGAGAGGAACAGCAGGUUCAGACAUUUGGUUUAUGCGCUUGUCCGAUCGGACAAUGGUGCGAAGCUACCAUCUGGGGGAUUACAACUGAAUGCCUCUAAGUUGGAAGCCCACCUGGACAGGUUGACAAUAUUUUCUGUGCCCCGGCGUCGGGAGGUACUAUUAUGUAGACUGCUCGCAGUCUGCAGCCUUAACCCCAUAGCUAACUUUGUCGGCUGCUGCAAUCGCGGCCGAUUGUUGGUUCCAUACUACUUUGU